rnacentral:rRNA from 1 species
UACGGAGGGUGCAAGCGUUAAUCGGAAUUACUGGGCGUAAAGAGUACGUAGGUGGUUUAUUAAGUCAGAUGUGAAAGCCCCGGGCUUAACCUGGGAACUGCAUUUGAAACUGGCAAACUAGAGUAUGGUAGAGGCGGGUAGAAUUCAUAGUGUAGCGGUGAAAUGCGUAGAUAUUAUGAGGAAUACCAGUGGCGAAGGCGGCCCGCCGGACCAAUACUGACACUGAGGUACGAAAGCGUGGGGAGCGAACAGGAUUAGAAACCCUUGUAGUCC